GAUGAAGAACGCAGCGAAAUGCGAUAAGUAGUGUGAAUUGCAGAAUUCAGUGAAUCAUCGAAUCUUUGAACGCACCUUGCGCUUCUUGGUAUCCAUUCCAAGAAGCAUGUCUGUUUGAGUGUCACGAAAUUAUCAAAUCACGCCUCUACCUUUUAAAACAGGUUCCGGCUUGAUUUGGAUUGUGGAAGUUGCUGGCUUUUUGUAGUCUGCUCUUCUUAAAUAUAUUAGCAAAAGUCUGAUUUGCUUGUCUUUGGUAUAAUACUAACUUUGUAUCAUUGAUGGGUCGAGCUUUCAUUUAAAUGAGCAGAACUUGUGCUUCCAACUGUCUGCCAAGACAAGUUUGAAAAUUUGGCCUCAAAUCAGAUAGGACUACCCGCUGAACUUAAGCAUAUCAAUAAGCGGAGGA
rnacentral:misc_RNA from 1 species